GGGAUAACCGGGAGAAAUUCCGACUAAUACCGCAUACGUCCUCCGGGGGCAUCCCUGGGGGAUGAAAGAGUUAUCGGUGAAGGAUGGGCAUGCGUGAUAUUAGGUAGUUGGCGGGGCAACGGCCCACCAAGCCCACGAUAUCUAGGGGUUCUGAGAGGAAGGUCCCCCACAUCUCUACUGAGACACGGACCAAACUCCUACGGGAGGCAGCAGUGAGGAAUAUUGGUCAAUGGACGAGAGUCUGAACCAGCCAAGUCGCGUGAAGGAAGACGGAUCUAUGGUUUGUAAACUUCUUUAGUGCGGGAACAAAGCGGCGUCGAGACGCCUGAUGAGUGUACCGCAAGAAUAAGCAUCGGCUAACUCCGUGCCAGCAGCCGCGGUAAUACGGAGGAUGCGAGCGUUAUCCGGAUUUAUUGGGUUUAAAGGGAGCGCAGGCUGCGAGGCAAGUCAGCGGUCAAAUGUCGGGGCUCAACCCCGGCCUGCCGUUGAAACUGUCCUGCUAGAGUUCGAGUGAGGUAUGCGGAAUGCGUUGUGUAGCGGUGAAAUGCAUAGAUAUGACGCAGAACUCCGAUUGCGAAGGCAGCAUACCAACUCGCGACUGACGCUGAGGCUCGAAAGCGUGGGUAUCGAACAGGAUUAGAUACCCUGGUAGUCCACGCAGUAA
rnacentral:rRNA from 1 species